rnacentral:rRNA from 1 species
GACCCCUAAGGCGAGGCCGAAAGGCGUAGUCGAUGGGAAACAGGUUAAUAUUCCUGUACUUGGUGUUACUGCGAAGGGGGGACGGAGAAGGCUAUGUUGGCCGGGCGACGGUUGUCCCGGUUUAAGCGUGUAGGCUGGUUUUCCAGGCAAAUCCGGAAAAUCAAGGCUGAGGCGUGAUGACGAGGCACUACGGUGCUGAAGCAACAAAUGCCCUGCUUCCAGGAAAAGCCUCUAAGCAUCAGGUAACAUCAAAUCGUACCCCAAACCGACACAGGUGGUCAGGUAGAGAAUACCAAGGCGCUUGAGAGAACUCGGGUGAAGGAACUAGGCAAAAUGGUGCCGUAACUUCGGGAGAAGGCACGCUGAUAUGUAGGUGAAGUCCCUCGCGGAUGGAGCUGAAAUCAGUCGAAGAUACCAGCUGGCUGCAACUGUUUAUUAAAAACACAGCACUGUGCAAACACGAAAGUGGACGUAUACGGUGUGACGCCUGCCCGGUGCCGGAAGGUUAAUUGAUGGGGUCAGCGCAAGCGAAGCUCUUGAUCGAAGCCCCGGUAAACGGCGGCCGUAACUAUAACGGUCCUAAGGUAGCGAAAUUCCUUGUCGGGUAAGUUCCGACCUGCACGAAUGGCGUAAUGAUGGCCAGGCUGUCUCCACCCGAGACUCAGUGAAAUUGAACUCGCUGUGAAGAUGCAGUGUACCCGCGGCAAGACGGAAAGACCCCGUGAACCUUUACUAUAGCUUGACACUGAACAUUGAGCCUUGAUGUGUAGGAUAGGUGGGAGGCUUUGAAGUGUGGACGCCAGUCUGCAUGGAGCCGACCUUGAAAUACCACCCUUUAAUGUUUGAUGUUCUAACGUGGACCCGUGAUCCGGGUUGCGGACAGUGUCUGGUGGGUAGUUUGACUGGGGCGGUCUCCUCCUAAAGAGUAACGGAGGAGCACGAAGGUUGGCUAAUCCUGGUCGGACAUCAGGAGGUUAGUGCAAUGGCAUAAGCCAGCUUGACUGCGAGCGUGACGGCGCGAGCAGGUGCGAAAGCAGGUCAUAGUGAUCCGGUGGUUCUGAAUGGAAGGGCCAUCGCUCAACGGAUAAAAGGUACUCCGGGGAUAACAGGCUGAUACCGCCCAAGAGUUCAUAUCGACGGCGGUGUUUGGCACCUCGAUGUCGGCUCAUCACAUCCUGGGGCUGAAGUAGGUCCCAAGGGUAUGGCUGUUCGCCAUUUAAAGUGGUACGCGAGCUGGGUUUAGAACGUCGUGAGACAGUUCGGUCCCUAUCUGCCGUGGGCGCUGGAGAACUGAGGGGGGCUGCUCCUAGUACGAGAGGACCGGAGUGGACGCAUCACUGGUGUUCGGGUUGUCAUGCCAAUGGCACUGCCCGGUAGCUAAAUGCGGAAGAGAUAAGUGCUGAAAGCAUCUAAGCACGAAACUUGCCCCGAGAUGAGUUCUCCCUGACCCUUUAAGGGUCCUGAAGGAACGUUGAAGACGACGACGUUGAUAGGCCGGGUGUGUAAGCGCAGCGAUGCGUUGAGCUAACCGGUACUAAUGAACCGUGAGGCUUAACCUU